UACUGUAAAAAUACAGCACACCGCUGUAUAAAUAUGCUGUAAAAUUAUGUUGUUUUUUUACAGCUAUCCCUGUAAGAUUACAGUAGCAAUGUUUACAAAUCAACUUUUGAUCCAGUUUCCAGGUUAAUGCCCACAAUUCCUCUGUGAAAAAAAACACAACAUCAGAUAAAAUAAAAAAAAC